UUUAAUACUCUUAAAAAAUUUUCCUGGUAUGACGAAAUAUGCAAAAAGUAAAAUUAACAUUAGGGGUUUAAACUUUUGACCAUAUUUUCCAGAUUGCGUCUACCCCAUAUAUUUGAAGGGUCAGAAAUUUGAAUCCAUUCAAAGAAAGGGAGGAUCCUUUCUGUAGAGAUUUAUGGUUCAGAAAACCAUCCAACAAACAAGCCAAUGUUCUCAAAAAGGGAAUGUAAGAGAAAAACUGGAGGAUGAGUGACCUUGGAGAAUGACCAUGAGCAGAAAUAUUAUGUCAAAACGUACUCUAAAUAUAAUGUGAAUUUGCUGAUACAAAUCUUAAUAUUUUGUGCAGAAAACUCCCAUUUCGUCUCAAAAUGUAAUUUAAGUUUUUCAUUCAAAUCUCGGUGGAUUUUUUGUGAAAUUGGAAUUAAUUUAGAAACAAGACCAAAAGGUUAAUUUUCAAGAUAAUUACCAAGAUCUUUUAAGUUAACAACAAGAAACAUAUAAACACUUUUACAAUAUUUUACAUAUUUUGUUCUUUCAUAUAUAUUUAAAAUAAUUAUUAAAUGAUUUUUCUGGGAAA